AUGGCGUUCACUUGCAAGCGGCCUGCCGCGUUCCUCGACGGCCACGCCAGCCAGCCGGGCGCGAUGUGCCGGAAGAGGAGGUGCGUCGUCGUUGGGACCACCUAUGACUACGACCAAAAGUCGCGCCUCGGCGCAGGCAAGUUCGGCACCGUCGUUAAGGCGCGGUGCCGCGCCACUGGCCAGCUCGUCGCCAUCAAGUCCCUCCACGACCCCGCCGACCCCACGAGGUGCUGCGGGAGGCCCGCUUCCUCGAGGCGUGCGGCGGCCACCCGCACAUCGUCGGCUUCCGCGGCGUCACGCUCGACUACGUAA
rnacentral:rRNA from 1 species